rnacentral:rRNA from 1 species
AUUGGAGGAAAGCAGGGGAUCGCAAGACCUUGCGCUUUUGGAGCGGCCGAUGUCUGAUUAGCUAGUUGGUGAGGUAAAGGCUUACCAAGGCUUCGAUCAGUAGCUGGUCUGAGAGGACGACCAGCCACACUGGGACUGAGACACGGUCCAGACUCCUACGGGAGGCAGCAGUGGGGAAUUUUGGACAAUGGGGGAAACCCUGAUCCAGCCAUGCCGCGUGAGUGAAGAAGGCCUUCGGGUUGUAAAGCUCUUUCAGCCGGAACGAAAAGGUUACGGUUAAUACCCGUGACUAAUGACGGUACCGGAAGAAGAAGCACCGGCUAACUACGUGCCAGCAGCCGCGGUAAUACGUAGGGUGCGAGCGUUAAUCGGAAUUACUGGGCGUAAAGCGUGCGCAGGCGGUUUUGUAAGUCAGAUGUGAAAUCCCCGGGCUCAACCUGGGAACUGCGUUUGAAACUACAAGGCUAGAAU